rnacentral:rRNA from 1 species
UAGCGAGACUGCCGGUUAAUAACCGGAGGAAGUGGGGAUGACGUCAAAUCAUCAUGCCCCUUAUGACCUGGGCUACACACGUGCUACAAUGGUUGGUACAACGAGUUGCGAGUCGGUGACGGCGAGCUAAUCUCUUAAAGCCAAUCUCAGUUCGGAUUGUAGGCUGCAACUCGCCUACAUGAAGUCGGAAUCGCUAGUAAUCGCGGAUCAGCACGCCGCGGUGAAUACGUUCCCGGGCCUU